AUUGAACGCUGGCGGCAUGCCUUACACAUGCAAGUCGAACGGCAGCACGGGAGCUUGCUCCUGGUGGCGAGUGGCGAACGGGUGAGUAAAGUAUCGGAACAUGCCCUGAAGUGGGGGAUAACGUAGCGAAAGUUACGCUAAUACCGCAUAUUCUGUGAGCAGGAAAGCAGGGGAUCGCAAGACCUUGCGCUUUAGGAGUGGCCGAUAUCGGAUUAGCUAGUUGGUGAGGUAAAGGCUCACCAAGGCGACGAUCCGUAGCGGGUCUGAGAGGAUGAUCCGCCACACUGGGACUGAGACACGGCCCAGACUCCUACGGGAGGCAGCAGUGGGGAAUUUUGGACAAUGGGCGCAAGCCUGAUCCAGCCAUGCCGCGUGAGUGAAGAAGGCCUCGGUUGUAAG
rnacentral:rRNA from 1 species